rnacentral:lncRNA from 1 species
GGCUUGGCUGGCACAGCCUUUGUGGCUUGCUUGGACCCAUAUGCAGCCGCCCAGGGACGGGAGACCCUGGUGAGGUGUCUGUGGUCCAGGCCCACCCUGAAGGAGCCGUGGGGCCGACUGCCGACCACGCCUGACAGCACGGCCUUCCAGGUCACCCGCUUCCCUCUAGGCUGGCCUGACCCAGCUCACCUCAUUCUCAACCUCACCAGUCAACACCGGUCAACAUCAGUCACAGAGCGUCUGAAAGGAGGAAUUUUCAUUUUCCUUUAAAGUGAAAAGGUAAAAACUGCAUUUACUAAACCAGGCCGGUGGGGGCUCUGUGAGCCCCUCUGCACAGGAAGCCUCAGAGACGCUGCAUGGUGUUCCCGGGGCAUCCUGGCCAAGGUGGGAGAACGCAGCCUCCGUGAGGACCCGCGGGAUGCCCUCGGGGGCCGCCUCCUGGUUCUCGUCUCCUCUGAAGUGCAGACGACGCUGGCCCACAUCCUUGUCGGGCAGAGGGGCUGCCGACUGGCCCCUGGCCAUGGCUCUUGCUGGGAGCCGUGUGGCCUGGGCUUGGACCCACAUCCACCUCUUGCUGGCUGCCUGCUCUUGCCAGUGGCUGAGCCUGGCUUCUCCCAUGACAGUGGCCGCAGACAGAGGGGACCCGUGCCACCAGGCAAGGUGUCUGGGGGCGAGGUGAGAGUUCUGCCAAAGCCGGAGCCAGG